CCGACCGGUGCACGCCCCUAUUGUGAACUCUCAGCCUCCGCGGCCAGCCUCAAACCCGGAGCCUGGGACUACAACCAGGAACCCGCAGAUCUUUCUUUGAUAGUUCAGUGCUGUAUCGCCACCCCCCCCCCACCACCACCACCCGAGAAAUUACCCAAUGGGCUAUAAAUUCAAAGCAAAAUAAUAACAAAAAAGAACUCCCUGAGGGGGACUGGGGAACUCUAUGGCGGCAAAGACGUUAUGGCUUGUCUCUUCAAAACUCACAGCCCUGCACCCUUUGAUGCCCACUUCCUUCCUCCCCACACUUCCUUUUAAUCCCCGUUUGAGUGAGCAGGCGAAGCAGCAGCUUCAAUCUAAAUAGCAGCAGCAGCUCGUGCCGUUGCUGACCCCAAUUGAGAGGCUGGGUUGAGGAACCGCUGUGAAUAGCCUCACUUUAACAGAUUCCACCCCCUGCUUCUCCAUGAUCUCUUCACAACCAUGCAGUUGCCAAGAAACACACAAGCCAUUAGGGGUGUAGACCUAGUGUGAGGUCAAGGUCAUAAUGAACCUCCGAGAAUCCGCUGUAGACCCAUAAAACAACACACCUGUAUGGGAUGAGAAUUCUCAUCCUAACGCAAUCCAGAUGUGCCUUGAGUUGCCUGCCCGACCAACCAGAGACAGACAUAGGUGGUUACUUAGGCUGAUAUUUGCAGGAGGGGCAGGUCCCGUCAUUCACUGUUGCUACAUGAAAAAAAAAAAAGCAAAUGAAGAAAGAAGAGGCUUCGUCAAAGGGUUUGUCUGCAAGUAAAACUAUACUGAAAUAGCACAUCUUAAGUUGUGAUGGCAGACACACAAGUAAAUCACCUGCUGGCUGAUUCAGUAUAUUUCAUUGGACACUUUGCUGGACCCUCAGGAUUCCCACAUGAACAGGGUAGGACUUUCCUGUUUCCUUUAAGAUUUUCAGUCAAACAUAGGCAAACUUUUACUAGCCAGAGAAAGUUCAGAUGUGUUAAGGACGCUUGCAGAGAGAGUUGAAGGACAAAGAGGCUUGAGUCAGGUUUUGUUAGGAGGACAAGGGAGGGCUCCAGUCUGGCCAGGCAGAGCAACUGAGGAGAGUUUGCUGGCUGGAGCAUUUAGCUGCCCCCACACAAGUUUAGUUCUGUGAGACUGACUAGGGUUCAGGUACACUUGUUGAACUCCACAAGGCAGGUUAGGAACUUUAACCUCUGUGGUGGGGCUGAGAGGAAGCUGUGGAAGGAUUUGUCUUAGUCAGCUUUGAAUUUCAGACAUUUGAAAGCAAGACUGAAUAGGAGGCCCACUUGGACAAUUUAAGGAGAUCCUGUCUACAAAUUAAAAACAACAGCAGCAAUUACAAAAAAGGCUGGGUGUGCAGCAUGAGCACUUGCUUAACAUGCUUGAUUUUGAAGACUUCUAGAGCAAUGAAUCAGGGCAGAGGUGGCUUAAACUGAAGUAGCUGGAAGGACAGAGGGGGGAAAAACAGAUUCAAGAGGUAUCUGAGAGAAAUCAAUAGAACUUGGUAGCAUCAUUGAUUAAUGAGUAUGAGGUUGAGAUGAAGAAGUCAGGAAGAAGCCAAAGGUUUGGAUUUGGAAAGUAAGUGUGUGGUGCUACCAUUCAAGAAGAAAAAACCAUAUUGGAAUAAAAACCUCAAGAUGUGUAUGCAUACACACUGUUGGGGGGACACUGUUGGAUUCAACUUUAGAUAUGCAGAGUUUGAGAUGUUUGUGAAGUAUUAGGAUAUUCUGGCCAGACCCAACCCAAUUAUUUUUACUCUUAAAAAAAAACCCCACAAGAGGAAUAUUAACUUUCUCUUAUUAUUUGCAACAAAGGAAAGGCUAAUAAUGGUAUGUGGUGAAUCUACUAUUAAAAUGAAGUGGCUUCCAGAAAGCCACUGGUCCUGCUCUCUUUGUGCAGUAGUACAGUGUGCUUUGUUUUAUUUUGUUUCUGAGUAAACAUACUUGCUGAUUUUAACCCAGUACUAUAUCUAGAUAACAUUGUAAUUAUUCUGUAUUGUGUAAGUCUUUAUUUUGCAGUCACAGAACCUGCAAUUAAGGCUUGGGAAACAAGGAUAUUAAAACCACUCCCACACCCUCCAGACACCUGUAAAGCCAAAGAUGCAGAUCUGAGCUCCCACCUCUUUUCUUUUUUUUUUCCUCCUUCUUCACCAAAAUCUUAAGCAAUAAAACAAGACAAAACCCAGAACAACAGGAAAUAAAAACAAAAUAACCAAAAGGAAGACUUGGAAUAGAAGAAAGUGCAGGGUAGAGGACUGGAGAGUGUACUUGGGUAAUGCUAGCUGGGUUCUAGAAAUGUCUGAGAUACUGGUGGAACAUUCAUGUAGAUAUCUAGCAAGUAAUGUUUUUAGCUUUUUCUUUGCUAUUUAUCUUUAAAAUACUAUGGAAAGCAAUUAGAGAUUCACAAAAAUUUAUUAUUUUUCUCUGCCUUCCUCUAAUCCAAACUUUAAAGGUGUGCACGAUAAGCUAUCUGAUCUAAGUCUUAUCUUAAGGUCUGCUCUUAGAGAAUCCAAACUAGAACAAUUAGGAGAUCCCAUUGCUCAGAAAUAAAGUUCCCAACUAGAAAUAAGAACCUCCAGUUCUUUUAUCCUGAUGAUACUAUUAGACACUAUUCUUAUUUGUUUGUAUUUAUUAACUCAUUCAACACAUUUAGUGACAGAUGCUGUACAUAACAUGAUAAAAAGAGUUGGCAUCUUUGUCUUCUUUAGAUGUGCAUUUCAGUAAGAUAACCCAGUGAUAAAUAAUAAAUAUUUCCAAAUCUUAAUUUUUGUCAUUUUCCAGUACAUUGACAUAUACAAGCAGAUAUUUUCCCUACACUGCAACUAUCCAUACAUUAGUUCCUUCCUCUGAGGCUCUGAAUGGCUCCUCCCCAAAUUCAACUCAACCAGUUAAACUUGAAUUUCUUGCCUGGGACUUAACACUCUUCAGACUUGACCUCAAAAUAAUUUUCUACACACCCCAAACACAGCCUACUUUCCUUAAUCAAGAAAUCACCUCUAUCUACACCAAUAUGUAAGUGUCAAAUGCCAUGGAGGAUGUGCACAAGAGAAAUUCAACACAUGAAGAGUAUUCUUCUGGUUGGGGUGUUUAGGGCAAUUUUUCUGCAGUAUAAGGACAAUGUUGAUAAAUUUCAUUUUUUACCAGUCUUUUCAAAACUCUAGAAGCUAUUGAUAUUUUAUAACUUUUUAAACCUAAUCUAUUUCAUGCUUCAGUUCAGAAGCAAAAACAAUUGUUCCUCUUGUUACAAUGUAUGAAGGACUUUGUAUAAAGCCAUUCUAGUCUCAGAGCACACAGUUAUUAUGUGACAACAUUGUAUCUCAUAAGUAAUCUGACCUGGAAGAUUGAAUUUAUGCACUGGAGUGAUUUAACAACUGCUUCUUGCACCAUCUCAAAGGUUCAGGAGACACAGGGUUACAACAUCAUUCUCUUUUAUCAGAGGUUAGAAUCCAUGCAAACAUGCUAUACAAGUUUUUAUCUCAGGUCUUAUGUACUCAAGACCCCAUCUUUAAACAAAACAGCGUUCCUGGGCAGUUUGGAAAAGAAUAUGGUAUAAAAGGUAUAAAUUUGGUUGAUUGUGGAUAAAGUGAUAUCACACAAGCAUUUAUGUGUAGAUGUCCCAUGCACUUUGAAGACACAAAAAGGGUAAAAAACAUGAUCUUGUUUUUGAAUAGCUGGCAUUCUAACCAGAGAAGCAACACAUACAAAUUUGAAACUAGAAAACCAUUUCAAAGCUACUUGCAAAAUAUUUUGUGAAUAUAGCACAAAUUUUACAAUAUAUAGUGGUAUUUUCAGAAAAUAAAUUUAGCUUAAUCCUAAAUCUUUGUUUCUUCACUCCCACCCCCUAUUCUUUUUUCUCUAUGCCAGACUGGAAGAAUGAGGUUACUCUUUCUGGACCAGAUAAGAGAUAACAGAACAGGGGAGACCAAAAUAUCAGCAGUUGAAAGGAAGAAUGUAAACAGCAAAAUGAGGAUAUGCCACUUUACAGAAAUCCCAAAUGUGUUUUGACUCCAAAGAAGAGGAAUGCCUUAUUUUCCAUGAAAGAACUCAGUUAAGAAGCCGAGAAUAUUGUUUGAAGUGAGAUGAUAGUCUGACUUGUAAACGACAUCAAAAGGUGUCCUGUAUGGGAAUUGAACUGAAGAAACACUUCUCUGAGGGUAAGCCUUGGUAUUUUAUGUCCUUCUGUAUUUGUAACUUAGAUGCCUUUUAACAGAUAAAAUCUGGCCUCUCUUCUUCUGGAACCUCCCAGACCACUUAUCAGUGCCUGAAACCUCAGGACUGAUCUGUCACUUGGAGGAUCCCCCAUUGUAACAAGAAUGGCUCUGAUAUCCUCCCAUUUGCCUGUGCUGUGAGUGCUGUCCAGUCUACCAGAGGUAUUUUAUUUCUAAACUGCUUUGUCUCCAUAAACACAUUCUAGGCUUCAGCAAGUAAAGUACAGUUAAGUUCCAUUUUCUUUGAAUUUAUCCAUGCCUGUAUGUUCAUUCUUUCUCUCAGUGAUUACCCACUGACACCCAUCCUUUCCUGGGCACCAUGCUUCAAGCUAUAAAUGCAAACUAUACAGGAUCCUACACUCAAGGAAAUCACUGCAUAUAUACAUGAAGUUCAUGUAAAAUGAACAAAAGUUACAUUUAAAAAAAAUACAACAUUCCAUGUAGGAAUAAAGAAAGCAGUGGUCAGUUAUGGGAGCCAAAAGUUUUAUCCAAGGGGAGAAACUUAAGUUGGAUCUUUGAGCAUGAAUAGGUGCUUAACAGGUAAGCAGACAUGGUGGAGCACUAAAGGGCAUGAAAUCUCAUGGUACAUUUAGAAAAGUGUAUACAUUUGGCAUGGAUCAUGUAUUUCUUGCAUUAAAUUAUGGGUGGCAAUUUAGUAACACCUUUAAUUGAAAAACUGUAAAGAAGAGGAGCAGAUAUCCACGGAAAGAUAGGUGGGGUUGAUAGGCUUGAGUUUGAAUUUUCCAGGAGGCAUCCAUGUGCAUAUGUUCCAGAAACAAUAGUAUUUACUGUCUGAGAACUCAGGAGGGAGGCAUGUGCUAAAGAUAUUAUUUUGGUAGCUCCACUAACAUUUAGGUGGAUGGGAGAAAACAUGUGGAAGGAGAAUUGAGAGGACCAGGGAAAGAAUCUGGAGAAUCUGGAAGGACACCAAAGUUUGGCUCAGACAGAGGAAAAGCCACCCAUAAUUUGAUACAAGAAAAACUCAUUAGAGGUAAGGGAUGGAAAGGUCCAUCUCUGAGAAGAUCAGAAGGUCUGGAAAUUUUAAGUGCGCUUCCAACACCCAUGUGAUCUAUUGAUAUGUUUGAGAGCACUGAGAGCAUGGAUGGGCACCACACAGUCUUCUUUUGGAUAGUAGACACAGAAAUGUUUAAUAAGCUGGAACUGGCUAAGAAGUGACUGUAGCAGGAGCUGCUGGCUGUUAACCAACAGUGAUUCUCCAUUAUUCCCAGAGAUAAGAAAAAUAACCCAGAUGAUGAUGGAAAAAGAAAAUGGAUAAGACUUGGAUUUCUGAAUGACCAUGUGGAACACAGCAGCCUGCCUACUUGUUCUGGAUUGAUUUGUGGAAUAGAAGUAAAUCAAUUUUAAAGCUA